UGAGGAAUAUUGGUCAAUGGGCGGAAGCCUGAACCAGCCAAGUAGCGUGCAGGAGGACGGCCCUACGGGUUGUAAACUGCUUUUAUGCGGGGAUAAAGUGAGGGACGUGUCCCUUUUUGCAGGUACCGCAUGAAUAAGGACCGGCUAAUUCCGCGCCAGCAGCCGCGGUAAUACGGAAGGUCCGGGCGUUAUCCGGAUUUAUUGGGUUUAAAGGGAGCGUAGGCCGGGGAUUAAGUGUGUUGUGAAAUGUAGGCGCCCAACGUCUGACGUGCAGCGCAUACUGGUUCCCUUGAGUGCGCGCAACGCCGGCGGAAUUCGUCGUGUAGCGGUGAAAUGCUUAGAUAUGACGAAGAACCCCGAUUGCGAAGGCAGCCGGCGGGAGCGCAACUGACGCUGAAGCUCGAAGGUGCGGGUAUCGAACAGGAUUAGAUACCCUGGUAGUCCGCACGGUAAACGAUGGAUGCCCGCUGUCGGCGCAUGGCGCCGGCGGCCAAGCGAAAGCGUUAAGCAUCCCACCUGGGGAGUACGCCGGCAACGGUG
rnacentral:rRNA from 1 species